GAAACAUUAAGAUACACAGUGUCUCUAGAAUAAAUAUUGGCCAUGUACCAUACGGAUCUGAAAUGAACUGCUCUCCAUUGUGUCUCUGGGGUCUGGGAACCACCAGUACUAGGUUUAUUAGUUUGGAACAAAAGUUGAACACAAAGAAGAUUUUUUACUACACACGUCCUAAAGACGAAAAAGCAAUUAUAUUAGUUCGACGUUGCUGCUAUUAGCGCUGGAGCUACCUGCGGCGCUGCUCUAUAAUUACGCCCUGAGUGACAUUUUCGAAGCUUUUGUAAGCGAUAACACGGAAGCUGCGUCAGAAACUUAAAAAAGCAAAUUCGCACAAAUCAAACAUUGAAGUGUUAAAUUUUUCUUUACAAAGGGCUUUAGAAGUCGCACGACGGGGAUCUCGCAGGAGAAGCAUUAUGAUACGGGAUCAUUAGUUAGCAAAUGUCAAACUCAAUUGAAAUCGUUUCUUAUUGACAGCAUUUUUGCCCUGAUCGUACAACAAGAAGACAACUUAAGCAAAUAAAGAUCUUGAGUAAUGAUUAAUGAUUUUUACACUAUGAAAUAAAUUCAAGAUCACAGAUUCUAAUUUGGAAUAAUAAAUCUAAAACAUUACAUAUUCGCA